AGUGGCGGACGGGUGAGUAACGCGUGAGAAUCUACCUUCAGGACGGGGACAACAGCUGGAAACGGCUGCUAAUACCCGAUAUGCCGAAAGGUGAAAAGUUAUUUCGCCUGGAGAGGAGCUCGCGUCCGAUUAGCUAGUUGGUGGGGUAAAAGCUUACCAAGGCAACGAUCGGUAGCUGGUCUGAGAGGAUGAGCAGCCACACUGGAACUGAGACACGGUCCAGACUCCUACGGGAGGCAGCAGUGGGGAAUUUUCCGCAAUGGGCGAAAGCCUGACGGAGCAACGCCGCGUGGGGGAAGAAGGUUUUUGGAUUGUAAACCCCUUUUCUCAAGGAAGAACAAAAUGACGGUACUUGAGGAAUCAGCCUCGGCUAACUCCGUGCCAGCAGCCGCGGUAAUACGGAGGAGGCAAGCGUUAUCCGGAAUUAUUGGGCGUAAAGCGUUCGUAGGCGGCUGUUCAAGUCUGCUGUCAAAGACCGAGGCUCAACCUCGGGUCGGCAGUGGAAACUGGAUAGCUAGAGGUCGGUAGGGGCAGAGGGAAUUCCCAGUGUAGCGGUGAAAUGCGUAGAUAUUGGGAAGAACACCGGUGGCGAAAGCGCUCUGCUGGGCCGAACCUGACGCUGAGGGACGAAAGCUAGGGGAGCGAAUGGGAUUAGAUACCCCAGUAGUCCUAGCCGUAAACGAUGGAAACUAGGUGUGGCCUGUAUCGACCCGGGCCGUGCCGAAGCUAACGCGUUAAGUUUCCCGCCUGGGGAGUACGCACGCAAGUGUGAAACUCAAAGGAAUUGACGGGGGCCCGCACAAGCGGUGGAGUAUGUGGUUUAAUUCGAUGCAACGCGAAGAACCUUACCAGGGCUUGACAUGCCGCGAAUCUUGCUGAAAGGGAAGAGUGCCUACGGGAGCGCGGACACAGGUGGUGCAUGGCUGUCGUCAGCUCGUGUCGUGAGAUGUUGGGUUAAGUCCCGCAACGAGCGCAACCCUCGUCCUUAGUUGCCAUCAUUAAGUUGGGCACUCUAGGGAGACUGCCGGUGAUAAACCGGAGGAAGGUGGGGAUGACGUCAAGUCAUCAUGCCCCAUAUGUCCUGGGCUACACACGUACUACAAUGGUCGGGACAACGAGCAGCCAACUCGCAAGAGUGCGCUAAUCUCUUAAACCCGGCCUCAGUUCAGAUUGCAGGCUGCAACUCGCCUGCAUGAAGGAGGAAUCGCUAGUAAUCGCAGGUCAGCAUACUGCGGUGAAUCCGUUCCCGGGCCUUGUACACACCGCCCGUCACACCAUGGAAGUUGGCCAUGCCCGAAG
rnacentral:rRNA from 1 species